rfam:Gossypium hirsutum cultivar TM-1 chromosome 9, whole genome shotgun sequence
UAUUAAAAUUUUCAUCUAUUUUUACUGUUAAAAAUUGACAUGGAUGACGAAAUAACCAGAUGGUUACACGUGACGUGUCACAUGUGCUUCAUAUUGGUAUAUAGGGAUCAGUUUUUAAUAUUAGAAAUAGAUGAAAUUUAUUUAGUA